UUUUCGUAGGUGAACCUGCGAAAGGAUCAUUAUCGGCACAUCCCUAUCCGCUUUCUAAAGCGAGGCGGCCGCGCGUCGCCGGAGUCUCGGAAGCAUGCGUGGUGGACGGCUCGGUUCCCGCGUCGAUGAAGGACGUAGCGAGAUACGAAAGGUGUUGCGAAUUGCAAGAUUUCGCGAGUCAAUGACCAUCCGAAUGCAUCGCCGCCCUCCCCUCGCCCCCGGGCGGAGGGAGGACGCGUCGGCGACAUCGCCCCGCACGCUCGCUCUCCCUCGAGAGAGGAGAGGCGCCCGUGGACGGAAGCACCCGGCAGGCGUGUCCGUGCCCCCGCGCACCGUCGCGCCGCGUGGCCUCCAGCGACCCGCGGUCAGGACGGCAAGGAAGCAAGCCGCGAUGUCGUCGGCGAGGAAACCCGCUGAACUUAAGCAUAUCAUUAAGCGG
rnacentral:rRNA from 1 species